rnacentral:rRNA from 1 species
UACGAGAGGCCCAAACGUUAUUCGGAAUUACUGGGCUUAAAGAGUUCGUAGGCGGCGCAGAAAGUAGGGUGUGAAAGCCCUCGGCUCAACCGAGGAAUUGCGCUCUAAACUACUGUGCUUGAGGGACCUAGAGGUGAGCGGAACUGAUGGUGUAGCGGUGAAAUGCGCAGAUAUCAGGAGGAACACCAAUGGCGAAGGCAGCUCGCUGGGACGGUACUGACGCUGGAGACGCGAAAGCGUGGGGAGCAAACAGG